AUGAAAAAAAGUCCACAUAACUCUGAAAUUUAACAUUCAAUUUAAAACUAGCUAAUUUCUUAAUCUAACCUGUAAAUGUAAGCAUGUUUGAAUAAAGUAGUUCAAAAUGACCUAGUUUAAACCUUGACAUGCUUAUUGGCUGCGUAAGAAAACAUGCAUCGCUGCAGUACAACUGCAUUUCUAUUUAUAGCACAUCCAUGUUCAUGCAAUACAAUGCUCCAGUCUGAAUAUUAAUUAGUGUGUCGUGUAAAAGCAUAAACAUUCACAUAUGAAUGGAUUUUAAUGAAAUUUUCAGCGGAAUUAUGAUGAAAAAAGUGUGUUUCGACGUAACUGGAGUAAAAUACACGCAUCGUGUUGAAAUAUUAGCGGAAAUAGAAGUUUUUUUCUAGCCGACAAUAAUGGCCGUUCUGAACUGUUUGUUAUGACUUCUUUAAAUCAACGAAGCUGAUCGAUGUAUGCAAUUAACAACCAAUUAAGUAGUGAAAUGACGAUUGUACAGCUCGCGACUUUUUUUAUUAAAAAAAUAUACAGAAAUUUACGUUCGGCAAAACCGCCUUAAACACCAUCGUACACCUUAUAUAUUUAAAACUAAAAUUAAAUAAGACUUUACUUAUUCUACACAUACCUUUCAUUUAUUAAACAAAAGUAACUCUGGAUAAUAAUGUCAGGUUUCUUAAUUUGCGCAAACAGUGGAAAAUAUGCGUUCGGAUUGACCGUCUUUCAUGCACUUACUAAGAUGUUUUAGUCACGAUUGCAUAAAGGUUACAACUAAACAUGCGAUUUGUGUACAUAAAAUAUUACGAGUAACCUACCAACCUCAAAUCUCGGAUCCUGAUUAGGGUCUAGCGACACUGUUCAAUGAUCAAAUGGAGUCCACACGUGUUUCGUUUUGCACACUUCAGUCAUUCUGUACAUUUCUGUGAAUAGGAAGAGAACAAUGUUACGUACAAUCCGCAUUGUUAAGAAACAAAUAAUUCCUCUCAUGAAUGUAAAAAGACGAAAUUCUUACCGUAAAACUGAAUAAACAUACUUAAAAAAAGUUUCUUACAAAGUAUCACCUUAUGAGGCCAUCCAUUUUAGCUGUGCAGACUUCUUACCAAUUCUCCCAACCUCCGCUGAAAUUAUGUCAAGGGAGGCGGAGCUACUUGUCGAAGUGCGAAUACUGACUGGUAGCGAAAUCGUGAGGGAAUCAUGUGAUCACAAAGUAUUAUUUCAUUGGCGCUCGUGGAGAAGGAGUCUGUCUGGGUUUAACACCUUUUCCCGCUUUUUUUGCGUUAAACAUGAAUCAUUAGAUAUAAGGCGAUUCUUGCGCCAUAUUAUAAUGUGUUAUUAAAAAAGCGGGAAUUAGGAAAUUUGUUAAGAAUGUACAAUAAGACUAUACAUUGUUUAAAUAUCGUAAUGUGUACCGGGAAAUAAACAUUCUGACAAGGCUUUAUAUCGUUAAAUAUCGCUACAAAAAUGGUGGAUUAUGCCAUUUUUUUUUCUGGAUGAUUCUAUUAAAAUAUGCAUUUUGUUCCAAUCAGCUUUAAUUUUAUUUACGAAGCUAGAUCAACUUAAUGUUUUUAAAUAAAGAUGCGUUCAAUAAAUUUUCAAUUUAAUGAAAUCGUCAUUUGUUAGUGACUAACAAAAACUAACCUUUUAAACAAAAAAUAGAAGGUUUUCUACAAAAAUCCAGGGACAUUAAUAGAUUUAGAUAUAGAUAAUAUGUUCCAGAUAUAUCAUAUUUUUUCAAAAUAGCUUACGUUUUAGCUUAUUCAAAUGUAAAACAACCAAAGAAUGACUGUUUUUUUUUGUCAUUGAUGAACUCUAGAAUGUGUCAUAAUAAGGCAUUUGAAAAGUGCACUCAUUUGAUUACACAUUUCAAUUUAAACAUAAGUCAUGCAUGCACAAUGGUAAUUCAAAGUACCUAUCUCCAGCUGUAUUCCUUUAAUUUUAAUAAUUAUAUAAUAAACAGUAAGAAAUAUGGACAGGACUUCCAUGAUCAUGUGUAGAUCUCAGUUCAAUUCCUUCCUGUAUUUCAUUGUAUAAACAUGUACACUAUAAAUAAAUAAACAGGUUAAAAUAAGAUUAUAAAAUUAAUUUGACUUAAGUAUUAUAUCUUUACUUUGACAAAUUCAUGCAUAUUCUCAAAAUUGAAUUAUAUAUUAAACUAUGAUCUUAAUAUGUUUGCAUUCACACGUUUCCUACACACAAACUACAUAGAUCUUUCAUACUACAUAUAGUUACAUAGUUCUUACAUAUUAUAUUUUACAACAGCUAGCAUACAUGUAGAUUUUAAAUACAUUUUGUUAUCUAUAAUAAAAAUUAUAUCCCUAAAUUUAGUUUAUUACCAAAGAAUUGUUUUGUUUUGUUUUUGUUCUGGUCAAAAGUAGGAAUCUUCCUUCUAUGAUGUAAACAAUCUUUCUAUAAUUUUGUUGAUGUUUUAGUAGAUAUUUAUUUAAUAAUUUUCUAUACCUACAAGUUCUUGAGAUAUGCAAAACAGAAAGCAAGUUUUAUAUUGGUUUAAGCAUAUUUUGUAUAUCAUAACAUUUGAAUUUGAUAUGCUUAAUAAGCACCAAUGUUUAUUAUAGUUCACAAGACUUGAUAAGAUACAUGUACAAAUUGAUAUAAAUUUGUAACAAAGAUACACAUAUUUAAUGUCCAUACAAAUGAAUUGUCACUUGGUCUAUUCAGUCAUGAAACAUCAUCAUCAACAACAACAUCAACACUUUAAUCUAGCUUACUCUUGUAUGUGACACAUGAAAAACACUGUUCAGAAUUCAAAUUAGAUUUUGAUGCAAUUACUAUCAGAAUUUCAAAACAUGUUUCAUAUUUAUCAUAUUGACUUCUUAAUUUAAGCACAACUUCCUCCUGAAAAGUAUACAUUUUUAAUUUAGAUAAAUAUAUAAUGAAUACUAGAUUUGGAUAAAUUUAACAUUCUAAUCUAAAAUUAACACAUUGAAGUGAAUAUAAAAGUAACUAAAGCAUAUCUUAAUUACAACCAACAUGGAUUGAAAAACAAGUUACUUAAUACUGUUGGAGAAAUCCCUUCACCUGCAUAUCUAAUCAAUGACAAUUUAAGCUUGGCUGACGACAACUAGUGUACAUGUGCAUACAACACUAAUAAAGUAGAGUGAAGUGUAAAAAUACAAGCUUUGGUUCAUUCAAUCUGUGCCAUUACUUUUCCUUUUUAAGCUUUGUUUAGUUUUUAUUUCACAUAAAAAUGUAUAUCUUUAGCGGUUUUUUGUCUGGAACAGAAUAUUUUUCAAGUUUGGAAUAAAACUUAAUUUCUAACAUUCUAUUAAACACAAGAUGAUUUAUGUAAGUUGUUUUGAUAGACAUAUAACAUGAAAAAUUAAAUUGUGCAUUUUUUUAAAGGAUGGAAUAUGUAUACGCGUUAUAUACAUACAUUUACACAUAUGUAAUUUUGGCUUAAGUCUGAAGUUCUCUGCAGCUACGUUUGACCUCAAAGUGUGUUAAAGUUCAUAAAUAGCAUAUCAUUUUGCGACAACGUGUGUAAUCUUCAUAUAUGGAGGAAAGAAAAUUAAUUACUACCGCACUAAACAACAGCCACGGCGACAUUAUCUUGGAUUAGGAUAAUAAAUAAUGCAGCGGAAGUUAAUAGAAAAGCCGCCGUUUUGGAAUCUCUGUAUUGCAUCGUAAAUAUGUUAAGAAGCACAUUCGCAGGACUAAAGCCCAAAAGAAUGUGCCCUUGUAUAGAAGACAUUGUUAUUUCUUGGAUAACAGGAAGAAGCAUUUGUACCCAGCAUGUGACUACCCACUUUUGUAGGAUUAUCUGAUAGCUGUUGAAAAAAAACAUUCCAAAAAUAGAUAACUUUUAUAUUCCAUUUAACGUUGCGGUAUGUAUUUCUUGAAAAAGAACAAUUUCUUAUGUGAUACUUUCCGAGGUUUUGUAUGAAGACAAACAUAAUUGCCAUGCUGAAAUUGUUUUAAAUAAAUAUUUUCAGUAAAUUA